rnacentral:rRNA from 1 species
CCUACGGGAGGCAGCAGUGGGGAAUAUUGGACAAUGGGCGAAAGCCUGAUCCAGCAAUGCCGCGUGAGUGAUGAAGGCCUUAGGGUUGUAAAGCUCUUUUACCAGGGAUGAUAAUGACAGUACCUGGAGAAUAAGCUCCGGCUAACUCCGUGCCAGCAGCCGCGGUAAUACGGAGGGAGCUAGCGUUGUUCGGAAUUACUGGGCGUAAAGCGUACGUAGGCGGUUAUUCAAGUCAGAGGUGAAAGCCUGGAGCUCAACUCCAGAACUGCCUUUGAAACUAGAUAGCUAGAAUCUUGGAGAGGUGAGUGGAAUUCCGAGUGUAGAGGUGAAAUUCGUAUAUAUUCGGAAGAACACCAGUGGCGAAGGCGACUCACUGGACAAGUAUUGACGCUGAGGUACGAAAGCGUGGGGAGCAAACAGGAUUAGAUACCCUGGUAGUCCACGCCGUAAACGAUGAUAACUAGCUGUUCGGGCUCUACGAGCUUGAGUGGCGCAGCUAACGCAUUAAGUUAUCCGCCUGGGGAGUACGGUCGCAAGAUUAAAACUUAAAUGAAUUGACGG